AGUGAACGCUGGCGGCGUGCUUAACACAUGCAAGUCGAACGAGAACGGGCUAUAGCUUGCUAUAGUUGUCAGCUAAGUGGCGCACGGGUGAGUAAUGUAUAGGUAAUAUGCCUCUUACUAAGGGAUAACAAAUGGAAACGUUUGCUAAUACCUUAUACUCCUUAUUAACAGGAGUUAAUAAGGGAAAGAUUUAUUGGUAAGAGAUUAGCCUGUAUUGUAUCAGUUAGUUGGUGGGGUAAUGGCUUACCAAGACUAUGACACAUAACUGGUUUGAGAGGAUGAUCAAUCACACUGGAACUGAGACACGGUCCAGACUCCUACGGGAGGCAGCAGUGGGGAAUAUUGCACAAUGGACGAAAGUCUGAUGCAGCAACGCCGCGUGGAGGAUGACACAUUUCGGUGCGUAAACUCCUUUUAUAUGAGAAGAUAAUGACGGUAUUAUAUGAAUAAGCGCCGGCUAACUCCGUGCCAGCCGCCGCCGUAA
rnacentral:rRNA from 1 species